GAAGAAGUGACCGAGUGGUUUAAGGUGUUAGUCUUGAAAACUAUUGUAUUUGAAAAAAUACCGGGGGUUCAAAUCCCUCCUUCUUCA
rnacentral:tRNA from 1 species